AUUGAACGCUGGCGGCAUGCCUUACACAUGCAAGUCGAACGGCAGCACGGGUGCUUGCACCUGGUGGCGAGUGGCGAACGGGUGAGUAAUACAUCGGAACGUACCUUAUCGUGGGGGAUAACGCAGCGAAAGCUGUGCUAAUACCGCAUACGCCCUGAGGGGGAAAGCGGGGGAUCGAAAGACCUCGCGCGAUUAGAGCGGCCGAUGCCUGAUUAGCUUGUUGGUGGGGUAAAAGCCCACCAAGGCGACGAUCAGUAGCUGGUCUGAGAGGACGAUCAGCCACGCCUGGACUGAGACACGGCCCAGACUCCUACGGGAGGCAGCAGUGGGGAAUUUUGGACAAUGGGGGCAACCCUGAUCCAGCAAUGCCGCGUGAGUGAAGAAGGCCUUCGGGUUGUAAAGCUCUUUUGUCAGGGAAGAAACACCGGCUCUAACACAGUCCGGGAAUGACGGUACCUGAAGAAUAAGCACCGGCUAACUACGUGCCAGCCGCCGCGGUAA
rnacentral:rRNA from 1 species